ensembl:lncRNA
ACGAAAACCCAGCCAUGUUCCUUAAUCGGCUGACCGAGGCCCUCGUCCAAUACACCAGGCUGUCACCUGAGUCCCGCAUUGGGGCGGCCACCUGGCCAAUCUCCCAGUCUGCCCCCGAUAUCCGGAAAAAGUUGGCCAAGGCCAAGGACGGCCCUCAGACCCCUAUCCGAGACCUGGUAAAAAUGGCCUUUAAGGUCUACCAUGCCCGCAAGGAAACUGCCGAGGCCAGCCGAAAGGCAAGGCUCAAGCAAAAGGCCGAAUUUCAGGCAAGCCUCCUAAACCAGCAAACCCAGGCCUUGGUAGCGGCCCUGCGGCCUGCGGCGGGCCCAGGGCCCGAAAACCCCCCUCCGGGGGUCUGCUUCAAGUGCGGCCAGGAAGGGCACUGGGCCAGGAUGUGCCCCAAUCCGUGACCUCCUUCCACGCCGUGCCUGUUGUGCAAACGACGAAGACGCUGGGCCAGUGACUGUCCCCAGGCCUCUCCGGCCUCGACCUCUAGGGGUCGGGGACCAGAGCGCCCCAGGGAGACCUCCUGCCCUUCUUCGGCUUUGGAGCUGCUGAACUUCAACGGUGAUUGACGCCGCCCAGACUCGGGGACCCCAAUAACCCAAGCCGAGCCCAGGGUAACGCUCCAGGUAGUGGAUCUCUCAGCAGGUGGCUGCGGCCCUAGGUAUCGGCUGGCAUCUCCACAUCCCCUAUCGGCCCCAAUCAUCAGGCAAGGUAGAGUGGGUGAACGGCAUCAUCAAGACACAUCUGACCAAGACAGCCACAGUUCUGAGGCAAGCCUAUCUUGGGUCGACCUCCUUUCUCUGGCACUCACUCGCAUUCGCACCACACUACACUCCAAAACAGGUUUAACCCCUUUUGAACUGCUCUAUGGUAGGCCCUAUCACCUGACGCACCUCCCCGAGGGAGAGGCUCCCCCACUCGCGGGGUACCUCCCCCUCUUCUCCCUCCUACGAUCCUUGCUGAGGGAACACGCAGACCGGGUCCUGCCACAACCAACAGACGACGCGGGGCCCACCCGGCCUCUAGCACCAGGAGAUCAGAGGCUCGACACGGUCCAGCUGAUGGUGAUGCGACAACAGUACCAAGGGCUUCCAACGAGCACUCUGUGGCAAGAUUAACGGCAGACGCCCCCUGUCAUCCCGACCGUACCCUACCCCAUCCCGGCCGUACCCUACCCCUCGUCGCCCCCGUUCAGCAGGAAGUAGCCAGAAAGAGUCGGCGCCCCUUGUCCUAUAUCAAAAAGGCCGGGAUGUAAGGUCAGGGCGAGGUCAGGAUGAAAGGUUCAGGGCAAGGUCAGGCAUGUCAUGACAUGCCCCAGCAGAGGGCACUGCAGACACACCCCGGAGACGGGCCGGCAACCAAGCCGACCAAUCAGGAGCCGACACGAAGCCGUCACCGUCCAAUCAGGAGCUGACAUGGAGCCCUUGGACACCAAUCACCGCUGAGCCCGCGUUUUCUUCCUUAUAUGGGAGCCCCGGCCCGGGCUAUAAAACCCCUUCCCCACCCCUCACACCUCGCAGACUCCGCAGACUCCCCUGUAGACUCCCUUUACCCCGCUAACUCCCUUUGCUUCGCAGACCCCCCUUGCUCCCCUGCUUACCCGCCCCCGGGAGUUCUGCCCAAGAGCGACCGCCCAAUAAAAGGCCCUGUUCAACGGUCCAUAGGGGUGGUUCCUUCUUCCCGCGGCGUUUCUUACACUGAGAGCCUUCGUGUGUCUUCUGGAGCACACAAUACAUAACUGAAAAAUAAAUCC